AAAUGACCUCAAAUCAGGUAAGAAUACCCGCUGAACUUAAGCAUAUCAAUAAGCGGAGGAAAAGAAAAUAACAAUGAUUCCCUUAGUAACGGCGAGUGAAGGGGGAAAAGCUCAAAUUUUAAAUCUGCUAGGUUUUACCUGUCAGAAUUGUAAUUUGAAGAAGCGUUUUCCGCGUCUCGGUUGGCCCAAAUCCUUUGGGAUAAGGUAUCAUGGAGGGUGAGAAUCCCGUUCGGUUGACCUUAUGACGCACUACGAUACGCUUUCUAAGAGUCGAGUUGUUUGGGAUUGCAGCUCAAAAUGGGAGGUAAAUUUCUCCUAAGGCUAAAUAUUGGCGAGAGACCGAUAGCGAACAAGUACCGUGAGGGAAAGAUGAAAAGAACUUUGAAAAGAGAGUAAAAUAGUACGUGAAAUUGUUGAAAGGGAAACGAUUGAAGUCAGUCGUACCGACGAGAAAUCAGCUUAUCGUGUGUUAACUUGUGGGCGUGCGUGAGUUUCGGCCUCGCUGUUUGCAUGUUUGUGCGCUUUGGGUGUACUUUUUCGUAUGGUUGGCCAACAUCAGUUUCGAUUACUAUAAAAUGACUGGCGGAAUGUAGCUUCGAUUUCGGUUGAAAGUGUUAUAGCCUCUGGUAGAUGUGGUGAUUGAGACUGAGGAUUGCAACGAAUAUCCUUUAGGCUAUCCGUCUGGCCUCUGAAAGUUGCUUGGGUGCUGAAAGCUUGCUUAUGGUUAUCUAAGUUAACGGUCAAUAGGUUAGAACGUGAUUACAUUCGUUAAGGAUGUUGGCGUAAUG
rnacentral:rRNA from 1 species